GUCGAACGAUGAAGCCCAGCUUGCUGGGUGGAUUAGUGGCGAACGGGUGAGUAACACGUGAGUAACCUGCCCUUGACUCUGGGAUAAGCGUUGGAAACGACGUCUAAUACCGGAUACGAGCUUCCACCGCAUGGUGAGUUGCUGGAAAGAAUUUUGGUCAAGGAUGGACUCGCGGCCUAUCAGCUUGUUGGUGAGGUAACGGCUCACCAAGGCGACGACGGGUAGCCGGCCUGAGAGGGUGACCGGCCACACUGGGACUGAGACACGGCCCAGACUCCUACGGGAGGCAGCAGUGGGGAAUAUUGCACAAUGGGCGAAAGCCUGAUGCAGCAACGCCGCGUGAGGGACGACGGCCUUCGGGUUGUAAACCUCUUUUAGCAGGGAAGAAGCGAAAGUGACGGUACCUGCAGAAAAAGCACCGGCUAACUACGUGCCAGCAGCCGCGGUAAUACGUAGGGUGCAAGCGUUGUCCGGAAUUAUUGGGCGUAAAGAGCUCGUAGGCGGUUUGUCGCGUCUGCUGUGAAAUCCCGAGGCUCAACCUCGGGUCUGCAGUGGGUACGGGCAGACUAGAGUGCGGUAGGGGAGAUUGGAAUUCSUGGUGUAGCGGUGGAAUGCGCAGAUAUCAGGAGGAACACCGAUGGCGAAGGCAGAUCUCUGGGCCGCUACUGACGCUGAGGAGCGAAAGGGUGGGGAGCAAACAGGCUUAGAUACCCUGGUAGUCCACCCCGUAAACGUUGGGCGCUAGAUGUGGGGACCAUUCCACGGUUUCCGUGUCGUAGCUAACGCAUUAAGCGCCCCGCCUGGGGAGUACGGCCGCAAGGCUAAAACUCAAAGGAAUUGACAGGGGGCCCGCACAAGCGGCGGAGCAUGCGGAUUAAUUCGAUGCAACGCGAAGAACCUUACCAAGGCUUGACAUAUACGAGAACGGGCCAGAAAUGGUCAACUCUUUGGACACUCGUAAACAGGUGGUGCAUGGUUGUCGUCAGCUCGUGUCGUGAGAUGUUGGGUUAAGUCCCGCAACGAGCGCAACCCUCGUUCUAUGUUGCCAGCACGUAAUGGUGGGAACUCAUGGGAUACUGCCGGGGUCAACUCGGAGGAAGGUGGGGACGACGUCAAAUCAUCAUGCCCCUUAUGUCUUGGGCUUCACGCAUGCUACAAUGGCCAGUACAAAGGGCUGCAAUACCGUAAGGUGGAGCGAAUCCCAAAAAGCUGGUCCCAGUUCGGAUUGAGGUCUGCAACUCGACCUCAUGAAGUCGGAGUCGCUAGUAAUCGCAGAUCAGCAACGCUGCGGUGAAUACGUUCCCGGGCCUUGUACACACCGCCCGUCAAGUCAUGAAAGUCGGUAACACCCGAAGCCAGUGGCCUAACCGCAAGGAUGGAGCUGUCUAAGGUGGGAUCGGUAAUUAGGACUA
rnacentral:rRNA from 3 species